AGACUUCUCUAUGUCCUGGAAAAUUGGGAUUAGAUCAGUCGCUGAGGGUAAAUUCUAGAUUUGCGUAUUUGGAUGGUUGAUGCCUUUCAUGUUUCUUAUCAAGUUCUUGAUGGAGUAGAGAUGAGCUAAGGAUUUGCACAACCUUUUCCAUGCAAACAAGUUCAUGAGCGAGCUUAGAUUCGAUUGCUUGCUUAGAGCAUUUUCUUUUUUGUAGCUUAAAAUGCGAUAGUGCAAAUUUGAAA
rnacentral:misc_RNA from 1 species